rnacentral:rRNA from 1 species
UAAACUAGGAUUAGAUACCCUAUUAUACUAAAAUAAAGGGGAGGUAUUGGAGAUUAAAUGUAAAUCAUUAAAUUUAGAUAAUUUGGCGGUAUCUUAGGAAGUUAGAGGAAUCUGUUGGGUAAAUGAUAGUCCACGAUAGGGGGGUCCUGUUAAAUUUUUAUAUAUUGUUGUUUAAAUAUUAGUUUAUGAGAAUUUAAUAGAAAUUUAGAAUUAUAGAGAAAUUCAAAUCAAAAUGUAGAGUUAAUAGGUUUUAAUGGGUUACAAUUUAAUUUAAUAUUAGAUUUUGGGUUUUAAUUACUUGGAAGAAAGAGGAUUUAGUAGUAAGAGUAUAAAAUAUUAUAGUUUGAAUUUUAUGUGGGAUAUGUACAAAUUGCCGGUCAUUUU